rnacentral:rRNA from 1 species
UAAGGAAUAUUGGUCAAUGGACGCAAGUCUGAACCAGCCAUGCCGCGUGAAGGAUGAAGGUCCUCUGGAUUGUAAACUUCUUUUAUCUGGGACGAAAACGGGAUUUUUAUCUCAAUUGACGGUACCAGAGGAAUAAGCACCGGCUAACUCCGUGCCAGCAGCCGCGGUAAUACGGAGGGUGCGAGCGUUAUCCGGAUUUACUGGGUUUAAAGGGUGCGUAGGUGGGCUUAUAAGUCAGUGGUGAAAUCUCCGAGCUUAACUUGGAAACUGCCGUUGAUACUAUAGGUCUUGAAUUUUCUGGAGGUAAGCGGAAUAUGUCAUGUAGCGGUGAAAUGCUUAGAUAUGACAUAGAACACCAAUUGCGAAGGCAGCUUACUACAUAUAAAUUGACGCUGAGGCACGAAAGCGUGGGGAUCAAACA